AGGCUUUGAAGUGUGGACGCCAGUCUGCAUGGAGCCGACCUUGAAAUACCACCCUUUAAUGUUUGAUGUUCUAACGUGGACCCGUGAUCCGGGUUGCGGACAGUGUCUGGUGGGUAGUUUGACUGGGGCGGUCUCCUCCUAAAGAGUAACGGAGGAGCACGAAGGUUGGCUAAUCCUGGUCGGACAUCAGGAGGUUAGUGCAAUGGCAUAAGCCAGCUUGACUGCGAGCGUGACGGCGCGAGCAGGUGCGAAAGCAGGUCAUAGUGAUCCGGUGGUUCUGAAUGGAAGGGCCAUCGCUCAACGGAUAAAAGGUACUCCGGGGAUAACAGGCUGAUACCGCCCAAGAGUUCAUAUCGACGGCGGUGUUUGGCACCUCGAUGUCGGCUCAUCACAUCCUGGGGCUGAAGUAGGUCCCAAGGGUAUGGCUGUUCGCCAUUUAAAGUGGUACGCGAGCUGGGUUUAGAACGUCGUGAGACAGUUCGGUCCCUAUCUGCCGUGGGCGCUGGAGAACUGAGGGGGGCUGCUCCUAGUACGAGAGGACCGGAGUGGACGCAUCACUGGUGUUCGGGUUGUCAUGCCAAUGGCACUGCCCGGUAGCUAAAUGCGGAAGAGAUAAGUGCUGAAAGCAUCUAAGCACGAAACUUGCCCCGA
rnacentral:rRNA from 2 species